rnacentral:pre_miRNA from 1 species
CCCACCGGCACUUCAUUGCAAGUGAAGAUCCAGUGCCUACAUAUAUAUAUAUGUGUGUGUAGGCACUGGAUCUUCACUUGCAAUGAAGUGCCGGUG